rnacentral:rRNA from 1 species
CGAUAGCGUAUAUUUAAGUUGUUGCAGUUAAAAAGCUCGUAGUUGGAUUUCGGGUGGGAAUGGCCGGUCCGCCGUUUCGGUGUGCACUUGCUACGCCCGCCUUGCUGCCGGGGACGUGCUCUUGAGUUCACGCUCGGGACACGGAGUCGGCGAGGUUACUUUGAGUAAAUUAGAGUGUUCAAAGCAGGCCUACGCUCUGAAUACAUUAGCAUGGAAUAACACGAUAGGACUCUGGCCUAUCUUGUUGGUCUGUAGGACCGGAGUAAUGAUUAAGAGGGACAGUCGGGGGCAUUCGUAUUUCAUUGUCAGAGGUGAAAUUCUUGGAUUUAUGAAAGACGAACUACUGCGAAAGCAUUUGCCAAGGAUGUUUUCAUUAA